UAGGAAGGCAUUAGGAAGCCAUGAGAUGAGAGUGAGGAAGUCAAGGCUAUAAAUGCGUGUGUGUGUGUGUGUGUGUGUGUGUGUGUGUCCCAAGAAACUAGACUAUAAAGGAAAGCGGAAAGGGACAAUGGCAACAACUGGAACACAAAGAGGAAGACAGAUUUUUUUAAAGAUAAGAAAAACAUGUCUAUAGUUUCCAAAGAAGUAAUCUGUUGAUAGUGAGAGGUAGAAAACACCAGACAGAGAGAGAAUGGAUCAUGGAUAAAAUAUGAGUCUGGUCAAGUUAGAGAGGUGGGUGUGAAAUGGAGAAAAUAAUCUUGAAAAGCAGGAAAGGCACCUUUUCUCUUCACGAAGCUGAAAUGAGAAUGGGUCCCCACGUGGCCUCUACUGAUUCUCUCCUCAGACUGGAAUCUUAAGAGGAUUUAAACAGGUGGUUUCAGUAUACUUUGGUUGAUGGAUGGAUGGAUCAACUGACUGAUUAAAGGUA
rnacentral:lncRNA from 1 species